AGAGUUUGAUCAUGGCUCAGAACGAACGCUGGCGGCAGGCCUAACACAUGCAAGUCGAACGAGACCUUCGGGUCUAGUGGCGCACGGGUGCGUAACGCGUGGGAAUCUGCCCUCUGGUUCGGAACAACAGUUGGAAACGACUGCUAAUACCGGAUAAUGACUUCGGUCCAAAGAUUUAUCGCCUGAGGAUGAGCCCGCGUAGGAUUAGCUUGUUGGUGAGGUAAAAGCUCACCAAGGCGACGAUCCUUAGCUGGUCUGAGAGGAUGAUCAGCCACACUGGGACUGAGACACGGCCCAGACUCCUACGGGAGGCAGCAGUGGGGAAUAUUGGACAAUGGGCGAAAGCCUGAUCCAGCAAUGCCGCGUGAGUGAUGAAGGCCUUAGGGUUGUAAAGCUCUUUUACCCGGGAUGAUAAUGACAGUACCGGGAGAAUAAGCCCCGGCUAACUCCGUGCCAGCCGCCGCGGUAAUAC
rnacentral:rRNA from 1 species